CGUAAGAGAGAACCGGUUCGAACAAAAACGGCAAAAAAAAA
rnacentral:sRNA from 1 species